rnacentral:rRNA from 1 species
UGGGGAAUUUUGGACAAUGGGGGAAACCCUGAUCCAGCCAUCCCGCGUGUGCGAUGAAGGCCUUCGGGUUGUAAAGCACUUUUGGCAGGAAAGAAACGUCAUGGGUCAAUACCCCGUGAAACUGACGGUACCUGCAGAAUAAGCACCGUCUAACUACGUGCUAGCAGCCGCGGUAAUACGUAGGGUGCAAGCGUUAAUCGGAAUUACUGGGCGUAAAGCGUGCGCAGGCGGUUCGGAAAGAAAGAUGUGAAAUCCCAGAGCUCAACUUUGGAACUGCAUUUUUAACUACCGGGCUAGAGUGUGUCAGAGGGAGGUGGAAUUCCGCGUGUAGCAGUGAAAUGCGUAGAUAUGCGGAGGAACACCGAUGGCGAAGGCAGCCUCCUGGGAUAACACUGACGCUCAUGCACGAAAGCGUGGGGAGCAAACAGG